rnacentral:rRNA from 1 species
GACGAACGCUGGCGGCGUGCUUAACACAUGCAAGUCGAACGAAGUGGCGAACGGGUGAGUAAUACGUGGGUAACCUGCCCUCCUUUUUGGGAUAAGCCUUGGAAACGGGGUCUACUACCGAAUAAAGGGGGAUGGGCUCGCGGCGUAUCAGCUGGUUGGUGGGGUGAUGGCCUACCAAUGCGGUGACGGGUAGCCGGCCUGAGAGGGCAACCUGCGACAUGGGGACGGCGAUGAGGCCCAGAGUCCUAAGCGAUGCAGCAGUGGGGGAUAUUGCACAAUGGGCGAAAGCGUGAUGCAGCGACGCCGCGUGGGGGAUGAAGGCUUUAGGGUUGUAAACCUCUUUCGCAAGCGAACGGGUAGGGGGAGAAGAAGCGCCGGCUAACUACGUGCCAGCAGCCGCGGUAAUUC